AGAGCAUGCUGAAAGAUGUGUUCUUUGCUGGAAUAAGCUUCUUCCUUAUCACAGCCAGUAAUAGCACUGUAUUAUUUUAGCUUUUGAAAGAGAUGAGCCUGUUUUUGCAAAAAGGCAGAUGCCCUCAGUUCCCAUUGACUUUGAGCACAGCUAGCAUUGCUCAGUGCCCUGCAGAAGAAAGGCUCUGGGGGAGUACUGCUAAGGGAGGCUGAGGGGCUCUGACAGUGCUAAUCCUUGUAAAUGUAGGGGUGCUACACUGCUUGCACAGAGUGUCACUACCGUAGUAGUGCCCCCCGUCCACGAUGGAAUCCGGUUCUUCCCCACAGCAGACAUUCCUCACACUGGUAUGGAGCACAGCUGGAGAGGAGAUAUCUUCUACAGAAUAAAGAGAAAUAGUUGCCCAGCUCUAACCCUGAGACCUGCACCAGUUGUGCCCUGUUGGCUGUAUCUCUGGAAAGCAAGCUUCUGAGGAGCAACCAGCUUCUUAUGUGGAGGUGAAUUAGGAUGAAAGGAUCUGCAGAAGAGGUGGAAACCCAAGGAAGACAUUGGCUGAAGACAGCUUCAUUCCCUCCCUGCCAAGAAGGAAGGAGAAAAGCAAUGUUUUAGGAGUACUGGGGUGUAGGUAAGGAAAGGUAUCUCAAAUUGCUCUCCAAUGCAAUUCCAGAACUGAGACCUCAGAGUUUUGCCUGCUAUACCAAUUUUUGCAUAUUAUAUCUGAGAUGGCCUGAAAUAUUAAUUUCCUUUCUUCCUAAUUAGUAUUUAGAUUUCAAGGAGAAUCAGUUAAUUUGUCGAGCUGACCUUGCCCAGAACAGAGUCUUGAGAUGUAUCAUUUACGUGCUGCCAGCAGCACCCAUAUUUAGGUUAAGUGGAAGUAUUUUUGUGGCAGCUGAUUCAUGAGUCCACCAGAGUGUUAGGGCUGAUCCUAGCCCUGAUCCAAAGCCCUUCCUGAAUUUUGCUUGCAGCAACUUUGCCAAAUGAAGAUGCUAAAAAAAAAAACAACCAAAAAACGUGACACUCCACCCUUCUGAAAAUAAAUAAAAGGCCACAUCUU
ensembl:lncRNA